rnacentral:rRNA from 1 species
UACAGAGGUCUCAAGCGUUGUUCGGAUUCAUUGGGCGUAAAGGGUGCGUAGGCGGCGCGGUAAGUCGGGUGUGAAAUCUUGGAGCUUAACUCCGAAACUGCAUUCGAUACUGCCGUGCUUGAGGACUGGAGAGGAGACUGGAAUUUACGGUGUAGCGGUGAAAUGCGUAGAUAUCGUAAGGAAGACCAGUGGCGAAGGCGGGUCUCUGGGCAGAUCCUGACGCUGAAGCACGAAGGCCAGGGGAGCAAACGGG